UUCCUCAUCUGAUGCUGCCAUGCGCAACAGGCUCCUCUGCUGGGUUGUUCUUUUGCUUCUCAGAAUAGGCCUGGAGGAUGCUGCAGUCAUACAGUUCCCAAGGCACCGGAUCUUGAAGGCUGAAAAGGAAUUCACUCUACAGUGUUCUCAGAAAAUGAAUCAUUAUGCAAUGUACUGGUAUCGCCAAGAUCCGGGAUUUGGACUUCAGCUGAUCUAUUAUUCAACUGGCCCCGACACCUUUAAGAAAGGAGAUGUCCCUGAGGGGUAUCACGUCUCUCGAGAUGAGCUGGACCAUUUCCCCCUGACCCUGAAGUCCGCCAGCCCCAACCAGACAUCUGUGUACUUCUGCGCCAGCACUGAAUCCACAGUGUGGCACGGCUGCUUCCUCUCUGCACAAAAAGAGGGGCAGACCGAGGUCCUCAAGAUUCCUGACCCCAACUAG